GACGAAGGGGGCUAGCGUUGUUCGGAAUUACUGGGCGUAAAGCGCGUGUAGGCGGUUGUUCAAGUCAGGUGUGAAAGCCUUGAGCUCAACUCAAGAAAUGCACUUGAUACUGGAUGACUAGAGGACCGGAGAGGAUAGUGGAAUUCCCAAGUGUAGUGGUGAAAUACGUAGAGAUUGGGAAGAACACCAGUGGCGAAGGCGGCUAUCUGGACGGUUUCUGACGCUAAGACGCGAAAGCGUGGGGAGCAAACAGG
rnacentral:rRNA from 1 species